AUCACCUUUACAUGUACUUUUGACAUUCCCUCAAUUAAGACUUUAUGCUUAAAAUCAGUGUUGCACAUCAUAACAUAGCACAUAAAUUAGCAAGCCGGAGUAAUGCCAAACAUCCAUCAUACCGGGUUAAACAAUAUUCCCUUUUAACCCCUUUUUCUUUUUUUUUUUUUCUAAACCAUUUUAGUCUACAAAACCCAUAUGUAAAUUUACAUCACAG